GGGGGAUGGAUAGAGAUGGGAUCUUGCUAUGUCACCCAGGUUGGUGUUAAAUUCCUGGCUUCAAGUGAUCCUCUUACCUUGGCCUUUCAAAGUGCUGGCAUUACAGGUGUGAACUACUGCACCUGACUGUAACUGGAAUUUAAAUUGUGUAGUUGGAGGACUGGUGUUAACUAAAAUAUGGUGACUGAAAUUCAUGCGUAUCAGAACUGUGCAGAAUAACUUCCUAUAUUCUGUUUCUUCAGUAACAAAACAUUUUCAAAUUAGUUUUCGUCUUUAGUUAAUUAUGAUCUCUGUGUACUGCUGAGCUUACUGAAUUCAAUUUAAAAAUAAAGCUGUUAAUACUAUCAGUUGACUUACUGAGUCAUAAAAAAUUUAAGGUGACUAGGUAAAAUGAAGCUUUUGUAAUUCUAUAAAUUACAUUUGAAUUACUUGGAACUCUUAAAUGCAACUGAAAUCUAAUUGGCUAAAUUCAGUUAAAAACAGGCUUUUUGGGGGGGGCAUUCUUUUUUUUUUUUUCAUAAUAAAAUAAAGUCAGUUUAUUAAAUGCUCAAUUCUCAAAAUUAUGUAUUUUUUCAUUAUUUAAAAAAACUUCCAUGCUCUUUCAUUCCCCUCCCUCCACUAGGUAUUGUCCAAGUUUUAUCAAAGUCCACAAAGUAUAACAUGUACCCAAAAGCAGAGAAGACAGGAGGUUUGGAGGACAAGGCACGCUGGGUCACUACCCGCACUGCAGAGUCCGCAAAGGCUAACUCAUGCUCGGGGCAAAGAAUGGAAAGAGUUAAUACACAAAAAAAGCAAAAGAACUGGAGUGGGCAGCCUGACCAGAGACGUUUACAGUUUAUACCAAUUUACAAAUAUUUAGGGUGCCCACCAACUCCAAGAGAACAGACCAAACUAACCCCAUAAAGGAAGACCUCUCUGCCAGGGCCUCCUCUCCCCACAACCUCCUCUGAAGAAUCAUUAGGAAGCCCAAACAGCUUCACAGUUCUGGCUUCCCAGCUACUGUCAUAUUUGCCGUCUUUGUCAUCACAGGCAAAUGCCAGCAGAGGCCUUUUGGGGUGCCAUGCCACGGUGAAGGUCGGAGACUUACACUGUACCUCCCAUAGCUUGUCCCCU